AACACAGAUAUAAACCCUAAACACUAAUCACUAAAUCCUAAACCCUAAUCGCUAAAUCCUAAACCCUAAUAUAAACCCUAAACCCUAAUCACUAAACCUUAAACCCAAAUAUAAACCCUAAACCCAAAUAUAAACCCUAAACUCUAAUCACUAAACCAUAAACCCAAAUAUAAACCAUAAAAAUUAAACUCUACUCGCCCACUUAAAUACUAAAACCCUAGACAAACCCCUAAUUACUAAAUCUAAACCCAAAUAACUAAAGUAUAAACCCAAACAAGAUCUAUAUAAUAUGUUGUCAAUUUUCUCAAUGUAGACGACAUAGUAUGGAACCGCUAUAAAUAGUAUAGUUGUACUGGUCCACUCCAUUUACAUUUUCCAAAUGACCAAGUUUAAGAUCGAAAUUACUAAACCCUAAACACUAAUUACUAAAUCCUAAACCCAAAUAUAAACCCAAAACCCUAAACUGUAAACCCAAAUCUCAAAAUCUAAUGCAAACCUCAACUUCACCACCAUUCCUCUAAAUAAUAGAAUUUAGAUUUCUAAACUAGAAUUGAUAAUAAUGAAGAUUCCAAAUAAUCAAAUUUGUGCAACAUUUAAAAAAUGAAUUUAUCACAGAAAAUGACAUUGAAAAUAACUAUCGAAUUUGAAAAUAUGGCAUAUUAUUACAUUUUAAGAAAUAGUAUAGCAUUUCGUCUCAAAUAGUAUGGUAUCUUUACACAAAUAGCUACCCUAAAGAAUAUAUACUAUACUAUUCAUUUCACCGAAUAUAGUAUAGACGAAAAGUUCAUCUUCUUCAAUUCUUCAUUCUUAGACAUGCUGAUACGCAUUCAUUUGGCUCACACUCACUAUUCUUUACUACGAUAUAGAGAUCGUCUUCAUCUACUCUUUUUUUUUCUGACACAGCAACACUUUACAGAUCCACCGUUGUUAUUCUUCAUCAGUGGAUAUCUAUCAUGGAUCUAACUCUGAUGCGAUAAUCCCAUCUCAUUUGCAAGAUUUAAAAAAGAAAACAAUAUGAAAACAAAAGCAUGAUUAUAAGAAUCAGUGAGUUAAGAGAUGGAGGAAAAAAAUUAAAGAGUUGGUGUGUGUUCUCACCGUCUACGCCUUCAUCGUUGUCUCUUUUUUACCACAGUUGAUUGUUCUUCUCGUGAGAAGAAAUCAAUUCAAGAAAAAAUCUGGGAAGAAGAAUUUCAUCUACUGUGAGAGAAUGUGUGAUUUUCAAGGGCCACACGUUGCUUUUGAGAGAAUGUGUGAUUUUCAAAAUAAAGCACAUGUGAGAGAAUGUGUGAUUUUCAAGGGCCACACGUUACUUUGGGUAUUACUAUUAUUAUUAACUUUUCUUUAUUUUUUUUUUGCAGGUUUCAACCGGUUGUAUCUGAGGGCGAUAUGACAAUAUUAUAUAUAAGAAGGAAAUUGUAUAGGCGAUGUAGAUUUUUUAGUCAGCCAUUGAAUUAUAAUUUGUUUGAUGGUUAUAUAACCCAAUUUCCCUUUUUUAUUUUUGGCAAAAAAAAAUUUUUUUUUUUGUGGUUUUUACGAAAAAAACUCAUAACAAACGCGUUUUCUCUUAACAUGUCUGAUAUACUCGUCCAAUUGUCGUUGCUUAGUUGUAUAACAUUUUGUAGUAAUCUGCUCGUAAAUAUACAACCGUCUAUGACAAUUUGUCUAGUUUCUUAUCCAAUCAUCAUUACGUAACGUCGAGGUUACGAACUUUCCGUCGUAAAUAUAUUUUGAUUUCUUGACAAAUUAUAUUUUCCACAGAGCUUCAUUGUUAUUUCAUCCCUUAAUUACAACGACCAUGACUCGUGGUAAAUGGUCGUCAAUUAAAUCUGUGAUUUCCUGUAGUGUUUAUAGUUUGAGAUAAUGAUGAUUUAGAGGGUGAUUGGUUGGGUUGUAUGAAGUGAUUUUAGCUUUAAUUUUCAUCUACAUUAUUAAAUACUAUUUCAAUCAUGUUUUAUCUUGGUUUUUAAAGAUACAGUAAAAACACACAAAAAAUGGCUUUAAAAAUCUUAUUUUCUAAAGCUCUAUCUUUUUAGCUGUAGGAAAUUUUAAAGCUACAUCACUUUCAAAAAAUCUACAGACUAAAUUUUAAAAUAAAAUUUUUACAGUUACAGCCCAACCAAUCACCUUCUUGCUAAUAAUUAUGUAUAUUAAUUGAGAAAAUGCUUAUAUAAGUUCUUUAAUACGGUGCAAAUAGAACAAACAGACGUAGAUUUUCAUAAGGUGAUCUAUGAUAGUAUAAUCAAAUUUAUAACACAUGUAGAAUUAUCGGUUGUGUAGUCUUUAUGUAAACAGACGUACAUUUUCAUAAGGUGAUCUAUGAUUAUACUAUCAUAGAUCACCUUAUGUAAUUUUUUCAUAACUUAUAAUACUUCUCUAUAACAUAUAAACUAGUGUUAAAAUAGAUAAAUAAUAUACUUUUGUAUAACUUUUUUUUUAAAAUAGAUUAAUAAUCUACUUUUAUAAAUAAGAGAUUUCUAUGAGAUAGCAAAGUACAAACAUGAUUUUUGAAAAUAAAUACUAAUAAUGUCAUUUAUAUCAAUCAUCGGGGUUUUUUAUCUAGUAAUUAAAAAACAACAGUAAUUAGGAAAAAAUGCAUUGCGUUUGUAAUAUAAUUAAUUUUGGUACAACCCGUUUCAGACGUAUUUUUUAUUUAGAUAUUUUAUGUUUCUAUACAUCAGAACCAAACCCAUUCAGAAUUAGAAGAAUCCAACUCAAAACUCACACAUAAAUUUAUAAUAUUAAAGCAAUGUUUAAUUUUAAAAAAAAAGCGAUAACCGAAAAGAAUAACUCGUGCCUAAAUGGAUAGUCGAUGUUCAUGCAUAACUGAUUU